rnacentral:snoRNA from 1 species
CUGCAGCCAAUUAAGCCAACUGUGCUCUUUCUCCCUGGGGGCCCAGUGUGCCAGGCUGCAAACAGUAGCCUCCUUGGUAGUGUAUGCAGCCUGUUGAUUGUAUGGGUUGCCCUAAGGGACCCUGGAGACAGCC